ACUGUUCGCCUCUACGGAGAGGUAGUUCAUUACAUCCUCUGUCCCUCUCUGAUGAACCAUACUCAUGUAAAAUGCCAUCGGAAUAUUACUAACUGCUAGGAACAGAACGGCCAGUUGCAAUUUUCCUGAGCACCUAUCAUGGCUGCUUGGAGAUCUUUUAGCACGGCCGGUAGACUUAUCAGGCCCUCCAAUUGUUGCCAACCAGUACCCAGAGAACAUUAAAGCUAUUGGAAGCACAGGGAGGACAAACCUGAACUCUUUGUGACCCAACAAGCUAUAAAUUGCCAAACACCAAGCAAUUAGACCAGAUAGUUUCCACUG
rnacentral:misc_RNA from 1 species